rnacentral:lncRNA from 8 species
GUCCGGCUGGUGUGUGUUCCCUCGCGGGACGCUGCCAUUGGCCAGUUUGACUUCCACAGGGUAACUGUGGUAAAUGGCUUGCAUUCACACACGCUAGUGGUUGAGGCACGGCUGUAGCUACAACAUGAGCGUGGAGCACAUCAGAAGAGGAGAGGCAGGGACAGCAGCCUCCCUGACCGUAACCACAGUACCGGGCCGUGUGCGAGGGGUGUGUGUGGUGAGUGUGUCUGCUCAGAACUUCUCUCUGCAUUGGGAGCAGUCAGAGGGGUGUGUGGACCAGUACCUUGUCAGCCUGCUGCCCAUCCAAGGAACUGUCUCUGUCUACCACACACACAAUGGACACACACACACACACACACACACACACACACACACACACACACACACACACACACACACACACAAGGAAGCGAUUACACAGUCGAUGUUAUCAUCAGCAGUGGAGACGAGAAGUUAACCUGCUUCUGUGAACAUCAACACAAGUGAGUUAUGGAGAAACACACACACAUGAACAUACUAGCACAUACAGUGGCUUGCGAAAGUAUUUACCCCCCUUGGCAUUUUUCCUAUUUUGUUGCCUUACAACCUGGAAUUAAAAUGUAUUUCUGGGGGGUUUGAAUCAUUUAAUUUACACAACACGCCUACCACAUUUCUAUUGUGAAACAAACAAGAAAUAAGACAACAAAAGUGAAAACGUGUGCGUGCAUAACUAUCCCCCCCCCACCAAAGUCAAUACUUUGUAGAGCCACCUUUUGCAGCAAUUACAGUUGCAAGUCUCUUGGGGUAUAUCUCAUUAAGCUUGGCACAUCUAGCCACUGGGAUUUUUGCCCAUUCUUCAUGGCAAAACUGCUCCAUUUCCUUCAAGUUGGAUGGGUUCUGCUGGUGUACAGCAAUCUUUAAGUCAUACCACAUAUUCUCAAUUAGAUUAAGGUCUGGACUUUGACUAGGCCGUUUCAAGACAUUUCAAUGUUUCCCCUUACACCACCCAAGUGUUGCUUUAGCAGUAUCCUUAGGGUCAAUGUCCUGCUGGAAGGUGAACCUCCGUCCCAGUCGCAAAUCUCUGGAAGACUGAAACAGGUUUCCCUCAAGAAUUUUCCUGUAUUUAGCACCAUCCAUCAUUCCUUCAAUUCUGACCAGUUUCCCAGUCCCUGCCGAUGAAAAACAUCCCCACAGCUUGAUGCUGCCACCACCAUGCUUCACUGUGGGGAUGGUGUUCUCAGGGUGAUGACAGAUGUUGGGUUUGCACCAGAUAUAAUGUUUUCCUUGAUGGCCAAAAAGCUUCAUUUUAGUCUCAUUUGACCAGAGUACCUUCUUCCAUAUGUUUGGGGAGUCUCCCACAUGGCUUUUGGUGAAAACCAAACGUGUUUGCUUAUUUUCUUCUGUAAUCAAUGGCUUCUUUUAUGGCCACUCUUCUGUAAAGCCCAGCUCUGCCCAGCUCUCUACUCCAAUCUCCGCUGUCGAGCUUUGCAGCUCCUUCAGGGUUAUCUUUGGUCUCUUUGUUGCCUCUCUGAUUAAUGUCCUCCUUCCCUGGUCUGUGAGUUUUGGUGGGCGGCCCUCUCUUGGCAGAAUUGUUCUGGUGCCAUAUUCUUAAAAAAAAUGUAAUAAUGGAUUUAAUGGUGCUCCGUGGGAUGUUCAAAGUUUCUGAUAAAAAAAAUGUAUAACCCAACCCUGAUCUGUACUUCUCCACAACUUUGUUGCUAACCUGUUUGGAGAACUCUUUGGUCUUCAUGGUGCCACUUGCUUGGUGGUGCCCCUUGCUUGGUGGUGUUGCAGACUCUGGGCCCUUUCAGAACAGGUGUAUGUAUACUGAGAUCAUUUAAAUAUGCUCUCUCUAAUUCUCUCUUUCUCUCUUUCUUUCUUUCUCUCUCUCGGAGGACCUGAGCCCUAGGACCAUGCCUCAGGGCUACCUGGCUUGAUGACUCCUUGCUGUCCCCAGUUCACCUGGCUGUGCUGCUGCUCCAGUUCCAACUGUUCUGCCUGCAGCUAUGGAACCCUGACCUGUUCACCGGACGUUCUACCUGUCCCAGACAUGCUGUCCCAGACCUGCUGGAACCCUGACCUGUUCGCCGGACAUGCUACCUGUCCCAGACCUGCUGUUUUCAACUGUCUAGAGACAGCAGGAGCGGUAGAGAUACUCUCAAAUAUCAGCUAUGAAAAAGCCAACUGACACUUACUCUUGUGUUACUGACUUGUUGCACCCUCGACAACUACUAUGAUUAUUAUUAUUUGACCAUGCUGGUCAUUUAUGAACAUUUGAACAUCUUGGCCAUGUGCUGUUAUAAUCUCCACCCGGCACAGUCAGAAGAGGACUGGCCACCCCUCAUAGCCUGGUUCCUCUCUAGGUUUCUUCCUAGGUUUUGGCCUUUCUAGGGAGUUUUUCCUAGCCACCGUGCUUCUACACCUGCAUUGCUUGCUGUUUGGGGUUUUAGGCUGGGUGUCUGUACAGCACUUUGAGAUAUCAGCUGAUGUAAGAAGGGCUAUAUAAAUAAAUUUGAUUUGUUUUGAUUUGAUGUGACAGAUUAUGUUACACUUAGAAUGCACACAGAUGGACUUCAUUUAACUAAUUAUGUGACUUCUGAAGGUAAUUGGUUGCACCAGAUCUUAUUUAGGGGCUUCGUAGCAAAGGGGGUGAAUACAUACAGUGGGGGAAAAAAGUAUUUGAUCCCCUGCUGAUUUUGUACGUUUGCCCACUUACAGAAAAAUUAUCAGUCUAUAAUUUUAAUAGUAGGUUUAUUUGAACAGUGAGAGACAGAAUAACAACAACAAAAAAUCCAGAAAAAUGCAUGUCAAAAAUGUUAUAAAAUGAUUUGCAUUUUAAUGAGGGAAAUAAGUAUUUGACCCCUCUGCAAAACAUGACUUAGUACUUGGUGGCAAAACCCUUGUUGGCAAUCACAGAGGUCAGACGUUUCUUGUAGUUGGCCACCAGGUUUGCACACAUCUCAGGAGGGAUUUUGUCCCACUCCUCUUUGCAGAUCUUCUCCAAGUCAUUAAGGUUUCGAGGCUGACGUUUGGCAACUCGAACCUUCAGCUCCCUCCACAGAUUUUCUAUGGGAUUAAGGUCUGGAGACUGGCUAGGCCACUCCAGGACCUUAAUGUGCUUCUUCUUGAGCCACUCCUUUGUUGCCUUGGCCGUGUGUUUUGGGUCAUUGUCAUGCUGGAAUACCCAUCCACGACCCAUUUUCAAUGCCCUGGCUGAGAGAAGGAGGUCCCCUUAGCAAAAAAACACCCCCAAAGCAUAAUGUUUCCACCUCCAUGUUUGACGGUGGAGAUGGUGUUCUUGGGGUCAUAGGCAGCAUUCCUCCUCCUCCAAACACGGCGAGUUGAGUUGAUGUCAAAUAGCUCCAUUUUGGUCUCAUCUGACCACAACACUUUCACCAGUUGUCCUCUGAGUCAUUCAGAUGUUCAUUGGCAAGCUUCAGACGGGCAUGUAUAUGUAUUCUUGAGCAGUGGGACCUUGCGGGCGCUGCAGGAUUUCAGUCCUUCACGGCGUAGUGUGUUACCAAUUGUUUUCUUGGUGACUAUGGUCCCAGCUGCCUUGAGAUCAUAGACAAGAUCCUCCCGUGUAGUUCUGGGCUGAUUCCUCACCAUUCUCAUGAUCAUUGCAACUCCACGAGGUGAAAUCUUGCAUGGAGCCCCAGGCCGAGGGAUAUUGACAGAAUAAUCACACCAAAUAUUGUCACCUUCUCACCAAGCUGCUUGGCGAUGGUCUUGUAGCCCAUUCCAGCCUUGUGUAGUUCUACAAUCUUGUCCCUGACAUCCUUGGAGAGCUCUUUGGUCUUGGCCAUGGUGGAGAGUUUGGAAUCUGAUUGAUUCAUUGCUUUUGUGGACAGGUGUCUUUUUUACAGGUAACAAGCUGCGGUUAGGAGCACUCCCUUAAAGAGUGUGCUCCUAAUCUUAGCUCAUUACCUGUAUAAAAGACACAUGGGAGCCAGAAAUCUUUCUGAUUGAGAGGGGGUCAAAUACUUAUUUCCCUCAUUAAAAUGCAAAUCAAUUUAUAACAUUUUUGACAUGCGUUUUUCUGGAUAUUUUUGUUGUUAUUCUGUCUCUCACUGUUCAAAUAAACCUACCAUUAAAAUUAUAGACUGAUCCUUCCUUUGUCAGUGGGCAAACGUACAAAAUCAGCAGGGGAUCAAAUACUUUUUUCCCCCACUGUAUGUACGCACCACUUUUCCGAGUUAAAAAAAAAAAGUUUUUAAACAAGUAAUUUUUUUCAUUUCAGUUCACCAAUUUGGACUCUUUUGUGUAUGUCCAUUACAUGAAAUCCAAAUAAAAAUAAAUGUAAUCCACAAGUUGUAAUGCAACAAAAUAGGAAAAACGCCAAGGGGGAUGAAUACUUUUGCAAGGCACUGUAGCUCCCCCAGACCCAAACCCUUCCCAGCUCUGCUCAGCAGCCAGGUGUCAGAUAACCCCCAAUGUAACCUAACACACACACAGGUUGAGUAAUAGAGCUCAUUAUUUAUUUGGUAGACCUCCUGAGCUAAACCCUGAAUCUUUUAUUCAGUGAAGCUGCUCUCCCCAGAGAGAGUGAGAUAGAGUGAGAGAGUGCCUGUGGGGAGUUAUGGUGGACACAAUGUCCUGACUCUCUCUGACCCUAACCGGCUGACCACUGGACGACUGGGUUACUACCAGAGCUGGACUAUAACUACUACUGCUGAAGCUAACCUGUUGCUACCCUGGACUAGUACUACUACUGUAACUUACCUGCUCUAACUGUUUCUACUUUACGGUGGUAUGCACUGCCCUGAAACUUUUCAACUCUAACCGGCUAACCGUGGCUAACUGUUCUUAACUGUGGACUGGGUUACUACUUUAGGCCUGGACUACUGCUCUAAGAACUAAGCUGCUGUAACCUGCUCUAACACUGACCUGCUGUAGCUAAACUGCUGACAACACUGGACUGAAGAACUGCAAACUAGAACUUCACGCUAACUGCUAACUCUAGACUAAGCCCUCUAAUCUAGAAUCUUUCGAUAAUGGUUAGCACUAGACGCUAACACGGCCUCUUCCUCUCUAACCUGCUGCCUCUGACCAGCUAACUGUGCUAACUCCAUCAUGGGCCUCACUCUCCUCCUGCUCAUCACCUACCUGGGAUACACACACUCACAGGUUAGACUGGCGCGCACACACACACACACACACACACACACACGUCUGCAACCGCAUAGUUGUGUUGUAGUCAUGUUCUGACCAUGCGGUCUCUCAUCAGGCUGAUGUAUCCAGUCUGAGUUCUCGAACAGCGUUUACGGUCAUGGUGACUGCCGCGUCCUCCUCCAACCUCAGCCCUCCGGUCAGCCGCAUUAUCAACACCAACGAAACCGGUGAGACACAAACACACACACACACAAACACACACGCAUACACACACGCAUACACAAACACUUGAAUGUGUGACAGUCAAAC